rnacentral:lncRNA from 1 species
ACCCGCUAAACAAGUCCAAUAACAGAAAUAUAAAUAAUAAUCCAAAUAGAAUAUAAUUAAUAGUCCAAAUAGAAAAUAAAUAGUAAAUGGAUGUCUGCAUCAACUCUCCUAGGGUGGGAGAAAAACUCGACCCCGUCGAGUGGAUAAAUCAAAAUUUUGCAAUGAAUCUGAUGCUAAAGGCUCCAAGUCAUGCCAUGGGGGACGAUCUUUCUGACGAACCAAAUAUCGAAAUUCCACAAAUGAUGACGAUACCAAUUGCAAAUUACCCGCAAAAACAUGAGCUGACCAAGAUAACUUAGGCGAAUGAGAAUUUUGCUGACUCUUAUAAAGAUCCAAUGAAUUUGGCUCACGUCGCUGAAGUCUCUCUUUGGGAAUCCAUGUACCGUCAGAAUCAAGUCGAUCCAUCCAACGAACAAGAAAGCAUUGAAUCUCUCUAUCAUUGGUCAACACAAGCUGUUCAUCCAAAAUAACAUCAAUUUUAUUUUUGUGUGCUGUGAUAGGUGGGAUUGAAGCAAACAUGGCAAAAGAUUCAGUGUGGGAAUUCUCAUGUGGGAGUAGAAACGGGUCAUCAGAGGGGCUAAAAUAGCCGUUGUAAGCAUUGAAGUCCGUAACAAAUAAAAUAGGGUGGUGGUCAUAAUGUGAUAAAAGGUCAUAGACAUAGGUAUUUUGACCAACAUGCUUUGAAAUUUUAAAAAGACCAGUAUUACACGCUUGCAAUAUAACAUAAUCCCCAAUAUUAAAUUCAAAGUAUUGUUUAUGCCAAUCAACUUGAGGUUUAUAUAAUGCUUUACUUGCUUCAAAUUGUUGAUUGAUCUCAAUAUGCAAGCUAUGAAAAUGUGAUACAACUACCUCAACUGACAUAGACACACAAGCAUGUGGGUGCAUGAGAAUAAGGUCUAGAGGUUUCAAAGGUUCACAACUAAGAAUAACUUCAAAGGGUUUUAGACCUAAAGACCAGUUCACAGGAUCGUUAUAUGCAAUUUGAACAGUUGGAGGGAUCAAGUCCCAAUUCUCAAGAUUUUUCUGGACUAGAGACUGUAAUAAAUUGUCAGGAUUUUGGUUAGCACUUUUGUUUUGACUAUCAAUUUGAGGUUGGUCAGUGGUGGAUAAUUUUGCCUUAGUGUUAACCACAGGCGACUGGAUUUUCCAAGGGUGACUGGUGACAUCAUCAAGUUCUUUAACUUGGGUAAGGGUAUGACAUCUAACAUGUGAUCGAGAAUUGUCGGAGAUAAGGGGUAUAGUAUCCAAAGUCUCGAGAAGAGUCUGGAUUCCACCUAAGGAAGUGUCCUCACUAUCAUCUAAGUCAUCAAAAUCUUCACGUUUAGGUUCAUAGACUAGAUAUUCUAACGGCUCCUCUAUUACAUUCUUUCGUUCUUCCAUGACUAAGGUUCGAUUAGGACAUUUAGAAGAAAUGUGACCAAAGUCUUUACAGUUGACGCACAACAAGUGAGAAGAAGACCUUGGAGUUUCAGAAAUUCUACCCUGAUUUUCCAAGAUUGGAGAACCAUUAGAAGGGGGAGGUCCUAGAAGGGACUUAACGGGAGAAGGUGGAGCCAAUGAAGCCAAAUGAUGAUUAUCAAAAAUUUUACCCUUAUUUUUCAAAAUUGGAGGAACAUCAGACAGGGGAGGUCCUAAAAGGGACUUAACGAGAGGAAUUGGAGCCAAUGACACCGAAGGAUGAUUGUCAAUAUGCUUUCUAUAUAGAAAAGAAGAUCUUCGACUAUCACGACCUUUACAAUUAUUUUUCCAAAUAGGAGGAACAUUAGACGGAGACGGUUUUAUGAUAGACUUAUGAUGAGACGACGCUAAUGAGAUGGGUGAGCGACGAUGACCACGCUUUUCAUAUGGAGUACUAAUACUCAACUCAUAAUCUCGAGUUAAAGAGUAAGCGUGAUCAAGAGUAGUGACACCUCGAAGGAAAAGCUCGCGCUUAAGAUCAUCUCUCAGACCUUGGCUAAACCUACUCAAAGUCGUGCUCUCAUCCUCAAUUAAAUGACAUUUGGUUCAAAAUUCCUCAAAUUGCGCGAUAUACUCAGUCACUAAUUGAUUUCCUUGUUUAAGGGAAUUCCAUUGAGUAAGAAUUUCAAAAUUAUCUCGUUCUCGCUCAUGAAUCUGAUCCCUAUUCCUAUCCCUAUCCUUACAAUCGGG